UUCAUGAUUGGUCAUAAGUGGGCGUUCCGUCUGUUCUUUGACGUUAGGGUUUGAUUGGUCAGCUGUUGCUCUUGGCGUCACUGCGCUGCCAGCUGAUCGAGAGGAGAAGCCGGUAUGAGGAGAGUUAAAGCGGAGACUGAGGACGCAGCGAUAUGUGGGCUAGAUUGUGAAAUUUAGGACGCAAGACUAAUGGUGUCAUGUUGAAGUUGAGUAAUUAUAUUGUUAAUUAUUUCUGUAACACUGUCGAGUUGUCUUGAGUAGGUUAGGAUUAGAUAUUUUAGCUAAGUCGCGCUUCAGCUCUUUGAUGUCAGGAGUGAUUUGAGGUUAAGGUGUGGCUUUCAGCUAAAAGACGAUUUACUUAAAUUGUAGCCGAGCUUAUAUUUAAUUCUUCGACAUUUAGCCUUUGUUUACAGUUAGAGUGAGACUCUAAAGUGGGCGAGAGAGAAUGGAAAUGGGAUCGGGACAUGACCCGGGUCAGAAUCGAACUUGAGUUCCCAAUGAGCUUUUAAAUGUCGUUUGUGCGCCAGAACUGUGUCUGAACGGAGUCAUGAGGGUUUUAACGGGUUUCGCGAGGAUUUGAUACGCGUGUCACCGGGGAGAUAUUUAAAUCCAGGAAGCGUUCGGUUACACAACGGAGGCCAGUCGUUCGAUUACCGUUGCAACAUUCGUUCUAACUUUUCGGAAGUGUGUGAACCCACUUUAGAACAAAUGGAAUCUGUUACAUUCCAUUGGAAGAGAUCGCGAGAGCGUUCAGAGUUGAGCCGUGCAGGGCGUGAGCCGCACGCUAGUAGACAGUCAGAAUGAGGGGGGAAAACCAUUGCGAAAAUAAAGGACGUUACGCCAGAUUUAUGUGGUGACUGGGAGUUCGAACCGCUUUCCAGCGUGACAUACGAAUCGAUCAACGAGAGAAAUAGAGAAUUCUACCAGUGAAGUAAGUAACGUUAGGUGUUGCACAUUUCUCUCAAAGGUAUUUGUCGAAAAACUCAAUAUUGCACCGAUAUCGAUUUGACGCUAUUUAAGUCUGAGAAUUAACGCUACUGUAGCCUAUUAACACAGACAGCUGAUAUUACAGUGGGCGUUGCACUAAUUUCAUUAAACUCAUAUCGCCUGACGUAUUUCCUUCGUGAUUUUUAUUUCCUUUGCUUGUUUUUCUUAUUUGUAUUCUAUUUAUUCUAAUUUUUAGCUUUCUUAAGAGGGCAAGGAACAGGCCUUAAAGAGAUAAUUAACCUAAAUGAAUAUUUAGUCAAAAUGUACUCACCUUCAUGUUUUAAACCUGCAUGAGCCGCAUAAAAAGAGAUAUUACGCAGGAUGACAGCCGUAGUCCCCAUCCACUUUCAUUGAAUAUAGAAAUAUUGCAAAGUGAAAAGUGACUGACCUCUUAUUGCGCCUCACAUUUUCUCGUUUUUUUUUUUUUAAUACAGCGGAUCGAAAGUUAACCAGGUUUGUAAAAAUAUGGGUGUUAUUAAAGGACAGUGAACUGUCACUUUAAGAUAAAGCUUAUAACACGGCGAAUUUGGUCUACGUCUGUUUAAGAUGAAUAACAGGAGCAACAGGAGGUUCUGCUUUAGUCUGCGAGAGAUGGCGAAGAUCAAAAAAUUAGUUUGGGUAGCUGGAUAGUAGUGUAUAAGUAUGGAUUUGUCCAUGACACAACGCUUAAACAUCGUCUCAGAUUCGUGAUCAUGCCUAAUAUCUGGAGUGGAGACCUCCGUUUCAACAGUAUGCCAUUAUGGAUUUCUUCUUACAUCUGAAUGACGGCCAACUGCUGAAGGUAAGUUAUGAAAUAUGACUGUUACGGGGGUGGCUUUUACAGGUGGUGAGAGUGAUAUGUCAGAACUGAUAUCAAAUCAUCUUUUCAGCUUCUACAAUUUUUCUAAUAUAUUAUAUCUUGAAUUAGUGGAUCUGUUUAAGCAAUAAAAUGUUGAAAAACAUCCUUAACUCAUGUUGAUGCAUCUGAUUUAAUUGGUUUCGUUGUUAAUUGUUUCAAUUAAAAUACAUUUUAAGUCAUGACGUACCAUACUGUUACCUACCAGCAUUAGCAGAAUUAAGAUAAUGAGUGAGGUUAUGACGUUAAAAACAGAUUGUCCUUUUAGUGAUCUUUAAUCUAAACCAUACGAUUACCUAAUCUAAAGAUUUAUUAUUAUUAUUUUAAGAAAGUCCUUGACUAUUUAAUGUUAGCUUAAGAACACUUUUUCCUUUAUUUGUUGCUUAUGAACUUAGAGCUGAUUAUGAAAUCUUAUUAAUUUACUGAGACUUGCAAAAAAGGUCACAUGACUGAAUAUGAUAUGCAUAAUUGUCUGGUUUUUAACUCUUGUUUAAAUGCACUGAAACUACAUUUAAGAAAUUGAUUUUUUUUUUUAAUUUUUAUAAAUCAAUGUUUUUUAAAUAACUGUAUUCAGAAUUAAUGUUUAUUUAAAUUCCAUAAGUUUAAGUGGUAAGUUGUUCUGUCUACGCACCUUAUUUAGGGGUAGAUGCCUAUUUUAUAUUUUCUCAAAUGAAAACGAGGCUAUACUGAGGUCUGUUUAAUGUGUUAUUGUGUAGCUCAGUCUCGAUCAUUCAGCUGAUGUAACAUUGUUUGUCUCUAAGCAAACUCUGAAAAAAUGUGUUAAGAACUUGAUGUAUGACCUUAAAACAAUAUAGCCUAUAAAGAUUUUCCUUGCAGCCUUGUUUUAAUUUGUGAAAAUUUAAAUGGCGUCCACCCUGAAUAAAUUCAAUAUGUCUGAAUAAAUUAAGGGCUGUUAAAUGACGUACAUGUCAUUUGUAUCCACUUUAAAAUAAGCAAGUUCAGAUUGAAAUAGCUCAUUAAAGAAGCAGCGCAGUGCAGUUUGUGGAAAAAAAAGGAACAUUUGUUCUCCUGCCCAGGAUAAUCACCAACAGUAGAAAGGUUGGACAUCUCACAUCAGUGCGUAGAGGUCUAAUUUUCUUGCAAUCUUUUCAAUGCAAUGAGUUCAGUAAGAGCAAUUCUUAUUUUCUGAUUCAAGUGUCUGUGGAGCUAAAGGUGGGAGUUCAAGAGUCUUUUUGCUAGAAAAUAUUUGUUUUGUGAACCCAUUGUCUGCUCUUGCACUUGUGUACGCUGCUAAUUGAGUUUAUUCUUCAUCCAAGCGUGGCUGUAAAUAUACCGAAAUAUAACAGAGGAGUUUGAAUCUCACUGGACAGUUUGUAAACCAAAUGGAGAAAUCACUAAGAAGGAUGUUUGAUCGCUAUUUAAGGUAUCUGCCGUUCAAAAUGCUUCCUCUGUUUAGUUUUUGACACUUAUUGGCUUUACUGUGAGGCCAUUCUAAAACAUUGAACUUUUCUAAGUUCAUUUUUUGCUGGUUCUUUAACGUUGGGCCUUCAUGGAGAUUCAUGAAUAAAUCUGUUUGGAGAAAAAAAACAUAGCAUGUAACUCAGACAACUGCAUUCGUGGACAUGAGAAAUGUCAUAUCAUGAGAGUUUUGGAACCACACCCAUUUUACACAUUUUCACUUCUCUGCAGGCCUCUUUGAGAUUAAGAUUUUUUUUACACUCUCAUUUGUGGACAUUUAAAAGUUUUUUUUGGCAUACAUUCCACUGUUGCCUCCGUAAUUGGUGCAGUAUCGUGCAGCACAGGCUGUGAGUGGGGUUUUUUUUGCAGAUGAAGCUCGGCUGUGACAGUGAUUUGCCUGUUUGGCAGGUUGCUGUAGUUUUCUUGAGUGUGGGAGGGGUGGAUCUCACAAGAAGGUCUGCUGUUGUCUCAAGGACAGUGGAGCUUCCCUUCUGUGCAGCCCCACAGUCCUGUGGGACCAAAUGCUGGACGCACAGACGGGUUUGUGCUACAAGGUUUCAGGAAGUGAGCCUGCAGAGCUUCUGUCCACAUUUUCGUCCCCCGUAACAUUACGCAGUUAGAUUCCUAGCAGUACCUUUUCGCUGCCUAUUCGAGGCGAUGAUUCUGCACUGUCAGAGACUUGUAGACUUCUCGAGUGAGUUUGCUUCUGCUGUCUACCCUGAGGGACCUGUAUAAUCUCCCUUUGAUUAAAUGGGCUGCAGGCUUUGUGUUCCACACCGCCAUGUAAGUGACCCAGUUUGGGGUUUUGUGCUAUUGUUCUUCUUUGAAUUUCUGUCCUCGACAUGCAAGGCGGCGUACACAUACGAUGCCCCAAACUCUAAAUAUGGAGCUCUUUCAUUCUAUACAGAGAAAACAUUUUGUAUUUUUUUUUUUUAAACCUGUUGACUUCACUUGCGGACUAUUUCUCUGUGUCUGUCUUUCUUUUAAGGCAGCCAAGCUAGUUCACCUCAGCAGUAUAGAGUGUGAGCUGGCCAGCUCUGUGGGAGGGUGGAGUCAGUCCAGCACGGCGUAUCUCAGACAGCAUGGAGGGCCUCUGCAGACAGAAUGGAAUUUAUACCAUAUGUACCAGGCAUCCCAAGAAUGCAUGGCACAGAGACUUGACCAACGGAAAGAACUGCAGAAAGUGCAAUGGAAAGGGUGAGAGACCGAGAAAAGAGGGCGGGAGGGCAAGCUGCAGGAAUGAACCUGUUGAACAUAAUUCCAUCAGUGUUUCUUAAGGAAAUAAUUAGUCCUUGGAUAAGUGAUAGAUAGACUGUAGAUUUCAUAUCUGUAUAUUUUAGCUAUUUAACUGAAAUAGAACAUUAAAUUAAAAAGUUCAGAAGUUUGGGGUAAGAGUUUUUUUUUAAACCAAAUCUGACUAUUAGAUUGAUUUCUGAAGGACCAUUUGACACUGAAGAAUGGAAUUCUGACUGCUGAUAAUUCCGCUUGGCUGUCACAGGAAUAAAUUACAUUUUAAGAUAUAUUAUUGAAAUUAUAAUUUUACAGUAUCACUGUUUUUACUGUAUGUUUCAUCAACUGUUUGCAUCCUUGGUGAGCAUAAGAGGCUUCUUUCAUUACCAUAAAAAAAAAAAAAAAAAAAAAACUGUUGAAUGUUAAAAUGGAUAUAUUUGAAUGGAGAAGCAGGAUGUAUUUGUGACGUCUGUGUUCCAGACGUGCCCUUGGUGAGUCUUCCUGUUUACCUCGUUGACUUCACAAACAAACGAUCGUCAUUGGAAAGCCCUUUGGGUACAGGUGCAUAUCUAAAUAGCUUUGUGUCAUUUUCAAUCGCAGUACUACAUACUCUCACCAAAUCAGUUGCACUCAGAAAGUAAUUUUGGCUGAGUCAUUCGCCGUGCCAUGGCACAGUAUUAAAAGCAUAAUUUGAGUCAAAUCAAAGCUUUUGCUUCCUUUGCUGUGCUGGGAGAGGCAGCUGCCGCUCUGAUAUCUGCUAACAUUGAUUCAGAGUUCGGCGGGUGGGGUGGGGUGAGAACAGGCAAUGCUUUGUCAUUACAACAACCGACAUUAUGAAAGAAGCUUCAUUUGAGUUACUGCCUAUUCAUGGUUUACCAGCUGCCAUCAGCUUCCUUUUGCAUGAGCUGCUAAUACAGAAUGUUCUUCUGUAGAAUGUAGUCCAGUGUAACCGCAUUGGAGAGGAGCGGGGAGGAGGUCUGGACUUGCUAAAGCUAUGUACUCAUUCACACACGCGUACAAGCAGCAGGGCUGUAGAAUGAUGUGCCAGAACUCACUCUCUUAUUUAUUUAUUUCUUUUUUUUAAAACUGAACCUAAAUCAUCAGGUUCACAGAACAAGGUUUAAAUUGGUAUUUGGCUGUGCCACAAGCUGUGUUUCACAAAAUAACGAGAAGAAGCUGAAGCUUCGUUUUUAAUCUUGCCCAGAUGUUCUGCAUUCUUUGGUGCUGCAAUCUGCAUUUCAGAGGAACGAGCUAAAGAAAGCACAAUUACCUCCCAAGUUCUAAACUUCCCUAUUUUUCUCAAGGCAGUACCUUGCAUUAUGUGGCAGUCAUUGCAGUUCAUUUAUGCAUGUGCCUGUGAUUUCAGUGUAGUGUAUGUAUGUUCCAUUCAUUCCAGAAAGUUGUGACCCCCUUUCUAACAGCAGUGUGACUAUUUGUGGGAUGCUCAUCGCACUCUUAAAGGCUCUGACCACUUCCUCUGGCUACAUGUGUGAUUCAGGAGCUCUUGUUCGAGAUUUACAGAAUCCCCACCCCUCAGUCUUGAUGAUUAGCCGGAGAUUACAUGAAUUCCUGAAAUGGCUUCGCCGCUUCCGCGUUGUCCAACAGUCAUUUCCAUUGUAUAACCCAGAUGGAAUUUCCUCUUUAAUAUCAAACUAUUUUGCCUGCAUGUUUUUCUGUUUGUCAAGUGUCUGGAGGAAGCGGUUUAGAGCGGUCUGUCUUGGAUGUCGGAGGCAUGAAUAGCAGGCAGCUCUUUGAGUCCUUGCACAACCAUCAUAUUAAUUCUGGGGAAGCAGUGACAGGGUGGGGCUGCUGGGAUGCAAAUGCACACUUAAAUAUGCCACGCCCCUUUUCCUUUGGGGUUCCUCGGGUGAUAUCUUGUGGUCUUCCUACAUAAGAUCAAGAUUUGGCUACACAUUUCAGAUUAAGGCUAAGAUUUCCUUCCUUGAGCGCUUUCUGUGGCAAUGACUUGGUCAUGACGUGAAGAUUUGUGUUCAUCUGAACUAUAUAUAGACUUUUAAUUUUUUUUGUGACCGUGCUCACUUCAUCAAUUUUGGAUUGGCAGGGUAAGCACGCUUGUACCAAGACAAAGUCUGGGAGCUGAGAGGAGGAGCAGGAUAUAUACAUGAAGUCUGUGUCCCGGACGAGCCCUUGGUAAGUCUUCCUGUUUACCUUGUUGACUUCACAAACAAUCGUCAUUGGAAAGCCCUUUUGGUACAGGUAAAUUUUUCUCCUUCCUGGUGUCUGCUGGUUGUUUUAGUCUUUUCAUCUGUGCAUUAGUGAAUGGCAUCCAUUUAUCAAUCAAUGUCUGCACUUCUCCAUUUCUCACUGUUCCCUGCCCGCUGGUUGACUCAUGCAGUGAUUCAUGGCAGAAUUACUGGAGCCACCUCAGCAUUUGAAGCAUCGCUGUUGGAACGGUGAUUGCCUGGUUUGAUGUAGGCAAAGUGACGCCUGAUUAAGGAUGGAGCCGAAAUGAAAAUGGUCAUUCUAUUCUGUGCACAUGUAAAGGCUGGUGAAUAAUGCACAAGACCUGCGGGACGUGGAGGAGAAUGGGUAAUGGAGUGGACUGGAUGCAAUCAGGCAUUUGCCCUAAAGUCCCAUAAAAACAGCUUUGGACACUCAAAUCUCUUUCAGAAAAACUAAAAGUGGCUUUGCAUGGCAGAUUGGGAUCUUUUAAAUUCUGGUGUGUGUUUGUGGAAAUUUGUUAAAAAUUAUGCAGCCACUGACUUCCGGUUUUAAAGAAAGGGCUGUUUUUUCCCCCACAUGCAGAUUAUCUGCUUGCAUGCUGUGUCAUUUCACAACUAAAAUGGAUUCUCGUAUCCCUCAGGGAUUUAGCGGUUUCCUUCCAGAGAUUCUUACUGCUUUCUGCCAGUUUAUGGUUCCAACCUUGCAUUUUUCCACAGUAGCAGAAAGAAAAGAGACUUUCAACUGCUGGGUGUGGUGUUCUCUUUCUCCUCUCAUUUUCUCUACUGUAGUCCCAGUGAGAGCCCCUGCUUGACGGGACAAGCAUGAAAGGAAUGUAACCUCUUCACCAUUGGCCUUGUCUCUGAUGAAUGGCGAGCUUGGGUCUUUCAAUGCCGGUUUCCAUUAAUAAUCAUUAUCUCGGCUCAGAAAUGACCUUGCGCUGCUUCUGUUCAGAUAAAUGUGGGAUUUCACUUUAAUUAAAGACCCCCUCCCUUCUUCACCAAGCCCAUUUGGUCACUUCCUGAUUAGUCAUCUGGAAGCUGAAGGGAAUGAGUAAUGCAUUGAUCCAUAGCUCAUUUUGGUAACAAUUUAUGUGAGCAUUGAAGAAUUUAACGACUAAUGGCUAAAUAAAGUAGGUGAAUAAGUAUCUGUUUAUACCGAGGGUGUAACAGGACUUGCUUUGAAAAAUCUGAUCUGUGACCUCUUUCCAUGGUCUUGCAGAUGUUGGACAAGCCCAUUUGACCCUAUACCACCAUCUUUGCCAGCUGGAUUGAAGAGCACCUUUGUCUUUAACCUGCUGUUCAGUGUCUGCUAGUAAUGUGAGAAAGCUGUCAGUCUUGGACACCAUCGCUAGACAGCUGAUGCAACAGUUUAGGUGCAGUAAGGAGCACUAGAAAUGGAGGUAUAACUGUGCUUUUUGCACCACCUAAUCUCCCAUCUUGAGCCAUCAGUUGGGUAUUGAUUAAUUGGUAAAUUGGUAGGAAGGGCUAUAGGGAAGAAAAUGUCAGCAGAAAGUGCAGAGAGCGAGAGAAGGGCACAUACUUCUCAAUUUCCCAUUGCCUUGCAGAGCAGCCUGACAGUAGUUGUUUGGGAAGCUUCCACUGAUUUACAAAUAAAUCACUUCUUGGGAACACUGUGUUCUGUCCGACAGGAUUUGUAGGCAUUGUGUGUUUGUAUAUGUUGGUGAUUCAUAGUGUGUGAGAGAGACCGCAAGAAUUUAAACAUGCUCCAUUGUGUCCAUUGCAGACUACUUGUAGCCAGUUGCUCUCUGAGCGUCUUGACUGGGUGGGGACAUCAAAGACCAUGCAAAGGACCAGUGAAAAUACAGGGUUUUUUUCACCCUAGGAGUGGGUUGGAGAGCAGUGUCUGGAUUUUCCAUAACUGCAUGUUAUCCAGCUCCAUUUUGUCUGUGCCGCCCAUUCUGUGGGGUUAAAUCCAUGGGUGUCACGAUUUUAGAGAGCACAUUAUAGUGUGACUCUGGGCAGUAGUUUGUGAUUGUGUUCAAGUCUUGUAACUGAAGCUGACGGCCCUCCCUUCCUGCAGUGUCCUGGACAUAGGAGGAUCUUAUCUCCGCCUUCAGACAAAGGACGAUUCAACCGCCCCGGUGUCUGAUAACAGCAGACUUAUGACCUAGCGGAAGGGGGGCACUGCAGCCGAAUGUAAUUUCCGUCACUGAAAACAAAAUAGAUGCAGUGAGCAUCCAUUUCUUCUGUGUCUUUGUUUAGACUCAAAAUGGGUCAAUAAAUUAUUUUAGUUUUAUUUUUCUAAUGUUGCACGUUAUAUCUAUAGAAUAUUGGUUAUCAUCAGCUGAUAUUGGACAUUUAUGGUUAUUUUAAAAUGCCUCUGCCAAAACUCACUUAAUGUAAAAAAUUUUAUAAUACUGCUAAAGUAAAAUCUGAAAAAUGAAUUUCCAUAUUUCAUAUUGUAUGGGGUUUCCCUUAAGUCACUUGUAGCAUUUACAGUGCAAACAAUUGAUUUAACUUUUAAAUGUGUUUUUAAUUUAGUGUAUUUCGACACAAGUGUAUUUCGACACAAGUGUAUUUUAAUAUUGGUCAUUUAUUAAGUAUCGAACAUAAAAUAAAAAUCUUGUUUUUAUCAGUAUUGAGGACAAUGUUCUGUGCAUCCCCAGUCACAUGUAGUUUAAAAUCUAAUUAGAGAGAGAGUGUGUGUGUGUGUGUGUGUGUGUGUGUAUUAUUAUUAUUAUUAUUAUUAUUAUUAUUAUUAUUAUUAUUAUUAUUAUUAUUAUUAUUAUUAUUAAGGUAUUCAUUCAAUUAAUUUAUUUAUAUAUGGAAUGAAAUUGGAAGUUUUUGGAAUGUUGUCUACAGGAGUGUCUGAAAUGAAUACUAAUGUGCAUUGUGUAACAUUCUCUACAGUAUAUAGUGAAAGCGCGAACAAGACAGCUGUUUUGAACACAUUAAUGAAUGCAUAACAUGUCUGUCUUGUCCCAACACCAAUCCGUAUUUGUGCAGUGUGAACGCCCUGUGAAUUUGUUUUUCUAUCAGGCAGCUCAAGGAGUAUGGGCAAAUCAUCCAUCCAUCCAUGCUGUUUGGCAAGAGUUGGCAUUUCCGAGUUGUGGGUGAGAACGUGUGUGUGGAAGAGACCGAUGGAGCAAAGCUGAGUGUGUGUGGGAGUGCUAGUCUAGAGCCAGUCGGUGCUUUGCAAACUGGACCCUUUUCUGUGGUUCAGUGAGAUCAGUGGGUCCUUAGAGGCCCUGCCCAUCCAGCACUCGUCCUUGAACUGCAGCAAAAGCACAGAGCUUUAUAUCCUCCUUUAGCACUGUUCAAGAUCAAUGGCAGAGUGAGGCCCAGAGAUGGCCUGUCUAUGAGAGAAAAAAGUCAGAAAGGAAAUGAAACCAUACUUCAUGAGCUUCCCCGAGAGAAGAGUGAAUGGCCUGAUUUUUGGCUGCUUACAGGAGAUUCUUUAGUUAAAUGAAGCAGACUUGUUUGAAAAUGAAACUAAACCUUUAAGUCAAUUGGAUGAAGAGAGACUUUUAAUUUGGUGUGAGUGUUAGAUGGUCUCCUUGCAGAACAGUUCAAGCAUGAUCAAACGCUUGGGUCCUGUGCACAGGCAGCAGAUCUAUCUGUACUCCAUUAAAUGCAGGAGCUGAGCUGAGUGAAUGAAUGCUGAAGCAGUAGCAGGCCUGCAAUACCUCAGGGGCAAAGAACACAUGACUAGACCGCUGCUCUUCCUCUCUUCCUUUCUGUCUCUAGCGAGAGAACCCUAAAAGAGAAUGUAAAAUGCUCUUCAUUUAUUUCUUUGCUUACUGAAUGCAUUUAUAUAUAAUUGUUAUAUUUGUGUAAUUUAAUUUAUUCUUUAUUCCUAGAUUGAUUGAAGCAAUGUUUCCUAAAUUGGGAUAAUGAAGCAUUUUUAAAAAUGUAUAUACAUUUUCUUUAAUCCAAUUAUUUUUUUUUUUUAUGAAUGUUGAAUAGCAUAUUAGAUUUUUGCUUUGGUAUCAAAAUUGGUUUCAAGACUCUGUUUCACUGGUUUUGGUGUUGGCAACUGAAUUUUACCUUACCUGAAAGGGUUAGUUCACCCAAAAAUAAAAAUUAGCCCAUAAAUUACUCGCCCUCAAAUCAUCCUAGGUCAACAUGACUUUCUUCAUUCAGACUAAUACAGUUGGAAUUAUAUAAAAAAUUGUCUUUUAUUUUUCAAGACUCUUCAAGUUAUUUUUUCGUGUCUCACACGGCUCUGGGGGGUGUUGAACAAAGGCCUCCUGUAGAGAAUCUAUGCGUUUUUGUAAGAAUUGAUCGAUAUUCAUAAUUUAAUAAUCUCAAAAAAAAAAAAAUUUUGUUUGUUCUUUUUGUUUUUUUUAUUGGAUGGGUGCUUUUUUAUUACAUUUAUUUUGUCUGAUGCAUGCAACACCCGUUGAGUGCCAUUUAAAGUGACAUUUUAUAUAACUCUUUAUAUAACUCCGACUUCAUCUGAAAGAAGAAAGUAAUAUACACACAGGAUGAUUUGAGGGUGAGUAAUUUAUGGGAUAAUUUUCAUUUUGGGUGAACUAACCCUUUAAAGAAGAAUUACAAUGGACUUUAAUAUUUUCCUGUGUCCUUUUUUUUUUUUUUUUUACUGUUACAGCUAACUUGCUAUUAUUGUCCUAUCUUAUUUCUCCUCAAACUGUCCUUUCUUUAUUUGCCUCUGCAGAUCAUGCCUUGGCCUAUUACUACAUUUUCUGCGGAGUAUCGGGAACAGACUCUGGGAAGGCCACUGGCUGACCUGCAGCAGUUCUUCACUGGCAAGCUUUAUGUCCUUGUGUACCAGCUAAAGCUGCCAGCUGAAGAACUGUUGUGGUUGGCUCUUUCCUGGCAUGUCAGCACAGAGAUGGCAAUGCAGAGGUAACAGCAUAAUUCCAGACAGUCUAUCAGGCAGUAUCAACCAAUCCUGGAUCAGACGGAUCCCAUUUUUGCCUUUCCCUCCAGCAGCCAGCUCACGUGAACUGCCUGAGCUUGGCCGUUCGUUAUUAUGAGGCAUAAACAAAGGCUACCAUACGGAGUCCAUGCUGACUCGGUCACAUUCCCGGCCCGGUGAGGGUCCCUUGCCCUUAUUUGGGUGUGGAGCAGGACAGGAGUGGCAUUCUGUGCUCUCAACCAAUCUGACAGAGGUGGCCAUCUUCCUCUCUGAUGUAGCAAAUAGGGGACCUGAUGUUUAGUGGGCGGAAACAUUAAGUACUACUAAAAUUUGUGUACUUAUAGAUGUUUCCAUGCAUUCUGGAGACAUGCCCCUUAGGCGUUGAUGUGCUUGUGUGUUUAAAGUUGCAGGAAUCCUCCAGGGAACAAUGAUGAAAGACUGCAGAGCAAAUGUAGCUUCCUCUUUCCCUUUCGAGGCCAUUCUAUGGCGUGUGUGUGUGUGUGUUUAUGUGUUUGUGCAUGUACGCAUCUAACCUUUAUCACACAGAUCUGCCUAUAUUCACAUCCUCAACACGUCAACUGAUCUUACGCAAGCCGUAAAUUCCUCAAGGCCGACUUCUUCAGCACAGAAAACAGGAUAUGAAAAUACAUCCCUCUAAAUCCUCCCAGCCAGAUGAAAACUGAGAAUAUUCUAGGUAUUUAGCAAACCCAGAUGCCGCGUGCCGGAAAUAUGCUCUUCAUUCCUUGCUCUCCAAACAUCUACAAGAUCUCAACAGGUUCUCAUACGUCACAGUUUUGCACAUGUAACCAUACCUUCUCUCAAGUGCUUCUUCAGGUCAUGGGCGACGAUCGCCUAUGUGAUCCUCUCUAGUCUAAUGUCAAUCUGUCCACAAGUGCAUUAAAAGAUUGUUGAGGGUCGUCGUCUCAGCUGCUCUUAAAGAGACGGCUCACGUAAGAAGCUCGGCCUGUCUGUGUUGCAGGUGUACUUAGGCCGUGGUAAGUACAGUAUGCUUCUGUCAGAAAUUCCUCUUUAAAGUCAGUCAGUGAGAGUUGACAGCUACAUUUAGAUUAGAUUACUAUGAAGGUCCAAAUUUUCAAUAUGGAAAGUGUGACUGAAUGAUAUGAUGCUCAAAUAAAGAAGUAAAAUGGCUUUUGGGAA